rnacentral:sRNA from 12 species
UGUUGCAACAACCCCGUGGAUUGGGUGGCGAGGCCAGGGAAGGGCCGGAGCCACAGUGAACCCACUGCAACA